CAAAAUAAAAAACAUUAUCACGGCUACCUCAUCGCUGCAAUGAGGUAGACUUAAUAUGUAUAAUUUCAUGUACAAUACUGUAAUGAAACAGGCAGGGAGCAGGUCUCGAACCCUCGACCUUCUAGCCCGAGGUCCGGCGCGCUAUCGACUGUGCCGCAAAAGCUUACUCGUGCGUGAGGGUCGAUUUCCGCGCUUAUAAACAAAGGGUCGUUACACUACUCCCUCCUUUCAAAGAGCGCGUCCUCGCGCUAGUUUGCGACUACGUUUUACAGGAACGCGCUCACCGGCCAAGCACACGUACUGUCAUGGAAGCGAGGUCCCAUCACUUCUGACACCAACGUAAUGAAACAACGGGGUGCAGGUCUCGAACCCUCGACCUUCGAGCCCGAGGUCCGGCGCGCUAUCGACUGUGCAGCAAAAGCUUGCUCGUGCGUGAGGGUCGAUUUCCGCGGUUAUAAACCCAGGGUCGUUACAAUACAAUAGGAAAUGUUAUUUAAUUACCUCAAAUGUCUUGCAAAAUUGUCUGACGGUAUUCUAAUCUUGGGUUACGUUACCAGAGCGUCAAGGGCAAGGCAUCGAUGGAUAUUAUGAGAGGGAGUUUAGAUUAAAUCUCGGGGGAGUUUGUCACCCCAGCCCAACGUCCCUGGUGGUCCUGAGCGAUGAUGUCCCCAACAAUAAGCAGGUACCAGGGCUGCCGAGUUUGAGGGGCGGACAGUCAGGAGGACACGGGGCUACUUCUAGGAGCCGGGACUGGUAUCCUUUUUUUUUCAUUUGGGGGAACUUUGGAUUGUUUUGAAUAUGUUGGGCCGAAAUUUGGGUUGAGGGUGGGACCCUCAUUUUAAUGAGGGGGGUGUCACGGCCCCUCCUCUGCAUUGCAGGGGCGGUUCCUCCUGCAGGCAGAGGGUCGUUAGUGAUUGGAGCCACCUGGGCUCAGGGUAUUUAAACUGCUUCACUAACCACUCUUGUCUCUCUCUGCUCCUCCAGGUAUGAUCCUGUUUUGUUUGUUCCUUUGUAGUUUUACGUAGUUUUCACUCAGUCAUAUUCACACACACAGAUUCACGCAUCCCUGCACUUUACAUACAUCCCACAUUAUGAUACUUUCACACCUCAUUCCCUUUUCUUUGUUUAAAGUUAAUAGUUUUUGGUUUAUAAUAAAGAACCUUUUUGAUUGGCCUAUACCUGUUGUUCGUAUCCCCUCAUUUUUGCCACAGGCUAUGAGCCGGCCUGUGACAGUAUGAAUUUCCAGUUCACUUGAUUGGAGAUGUAUCUGAUGAGGAGAACGAAGAUCCAGAAGUCCAGAAGGACAUUAAGACAUUUUAAGUACUUGACAAAAUCCUGGCUUCAAGGAUCUUCAAGGAGUUCCAUCAACUAUGGAAGAAACUAUUGGUAAGCACAAGGAUACGGAGAGUACACAGAAGUUAAUGCAGCACCAUAUCACCAAGUAAAAUUCAAAGUGUGUAAAUGUACUUGACAAAUGAAGGCGAUUCUGAUGUGAGAAUGUGUAUAUGCUGAAGGAUAUUUUCUACCAAUUUUUGUGCAGCAGCUAAAACCCAACAUAUAUUCAGAAUGUGCAGAUGAAGCAGAAAAUACAAGGAUAUUUUUGGUCCUGGCUCCUUCCAGUAGUAAGUCAAAUAGUAUCAUUUCAGAAUGCUGAUCAGUGUGGAUACUGUCUACAAUGCACAUUGACUGGAGCUUUGAGGACAAUGUGAGUCAUAGUACUCACAUGCCAAAUUACGGUUCCAUGAUAAACUAAAGAACUUGGAAAAUGGUGUUAUAAAUCAUCAGCUUUCUUUUGCAUGGGAUAUGGCACAGCAAAUUGAUAACCUUACGUAGAGUCAGACUCAGAAUUUGAAUAUGGUAAUUUGUUAUUCAUAUGCAGGCUAUGUUUUAAUAAUACAUUUUCAUUCACCCUAGUUCAUGGAUCCAGUGAAGAAGUGGACUUUGUUCCUGUGUUUGUGACUCAAGUGCCUGACAAAAAGUAUGAGACACAACACAAGUGGAGGAAAGUGAAUUUGUUUAAAUAUGCUGGAACACAAUUAUAGAUGGUAACAAUUUGCAGAAUUAAUUUGCUCAUAACCCAAAGAUGUGGAUGUCGAUUAAGGCAGCCCCCCGCACCUCUCUGAUUCAGAGGGUUAAAUGCGGAAGAAACAUUUCAGUUAAAGGCAUUCAGUUGUACAACUGACUAGGUAUCUCCCUUUCCUAUGUAGGCCAAUUUAUACUAACUACUCCUGUAACAAUGUUAGUCUUACAAUGCAGUUGUAUUAUUCUACACUAGAUGGCAAUAUAACCCUAGGAAACAAUGUAACUGCUUUGUCCAUGAACAACUUUCCCAUAUUCUUUUGAAUUUGCUGUUUGGUGGAUGACAUGUCACUUAAAGUCAUAGUUAUAGAGUCAUGAACAUUGUCCAGUGGGCUCUUUUUCAAAUUGCAUGUAUUUCAGUGGUCUAGAAAAAAACAUGCAUCAGGUUUAAUUGAUAUAUGCAAAUUCUGAAUUAUUGCUUAGAUUGUUGACAAUGUCUCUCCUAAACAUCUCAGGAUGAUACUAGACAGAGCUCGCGAAUGGUUCUUAAACUCUGAGUUUAGGCUUCUGUAUGCCAUGUUUACCUGCUGGAAUCCAAACAAUGCAUGAACUCAACUCCCACACAGCAGCAGACUUGGCUGAAGUGGGUCACGAAGAGAGGGCAGAUGAGUCACAAGGCAGCCAGUCCAAUUCCCAGGGACAAAAAGAAACAAGACUUUGUGAGGAAAAACAUUGAGAUAUGUCAAAGUUCAUGUUGGUCCAAGUGCAGUGUCAGACUGUCACAUAGAUUUGGACAAGUCCCAUGUUACAUGUGUUAUUUUUACCCCACUUGGAAAAAUAAAUAUUUCUUUGACUCAGA